rnacentral:rRNA from 1 species
AAUAGAUACCCAGGUAGUCCACGCCGUAAACGAUGAGUGCUAGGUGUUAGGGGGUCCAACCCUUAGUGCCGAAGUUAACACAUUAAGCACUCCGCCUGGGGAGUACGGUCGCAAGACUGAAACUCAAAGGAAUUGACGGGGGCCCGCACAAGCGGUGGAGCAUGUGGUUUAAUUCGAAGCAACGCGAAGAACCUUACCAGGGCUUGACAUCCCUCUGACCGUUCUAGAGAUAGAGCUUCCCUUUGGGGCAGAGGUGACAGGUGGUGCAUGGUUGUCGUCAGCUCGUGUCGUGAGAUGUUGGGUUAAGUCCCGCAACGAGCGCAACCCUUGUCCUUAGUUGCCAGCAUUCAGUUGGGCACUCUAGGGAGACUGCCGGUGACAAACCGGAGGAAGGUGGGGAUGACGUCAAAUCAUCAUGCCCCUUAUGUCCUGGGCUACACACGUGCUACAAUGGCUGGUACAAAGGGUAGCGAAGCAGUGAUGUGGAGCCAAUCCCAAAAAGCCAGUCACAGUUCGGAUUGUAGGCUGCAACUCG